AGUCGAGCGAACGGACGAGAAGCUUGCUUCUCUGAUGUUAGCGGCGGGCGGGUGAGUAACACGUGGAUAACCUACCUAUAAGACUGGGAUAACUUCGGGAAACCGGAGCUAAUACCGGAUAAUAUUUUGAACCGCAUGGUUCAAAAGUGAAAGACGGUCUUGCUGUCACUUAUAGAUGGAUCCGCGCUGCAUUAGCUAGUUGGUAAGGUAACGGCUUACCAAGGCAACGAUGCAUAGCCGACCUAAGAGGGUGAUCGGCCACACUGGAACUGAGACACGGUCCAGACUCCUACGGGAGGCAGCAGUAGGGAAUCUUCCGCAAUGGGCGAAAGCCUGACGGAGCAACGCCGCGUGAGUGAUGAAGGUCUUCGGAUCGUAAAACUCUGUUAUUAGGGAAGAACAUAUGUGUAAGUAACUGUGCACAUCUUGACGGUACCUAAUCAGAAAGCCACGGCUAACUACGUGCCAGCAGCCGCGGUAAUACGUAGGUGGCAAGCGUUAUCCGGAAUUAUUGGGCGUAAAGCGCGCGUAGGCGGUUUUUUAAGUCUGAUGUGAAAGCCCUCGGCUCAACCGUGGAGGGUCAUUGGAAACUGGAAAACUUGAGUGCAGAAGAGGAGAGUGGAAUUCCAUGUGUAGCGGUGAAAUGCGCAGAGAUAUGGAGGAACACCAGUGGCGAAGGCGACUUUCUGGUCUGUAACUGACGCUGAUGUGCGAAAGCGUGGGGAUCGAACAGGAUUAG
rnacentral:rRNA from 1 species